CCUACGGGAGGCAGCAGUGAGGAAUAUUGGUCAAUGGGCGAGAGCCUGAACCAGCCAAGCCGCGUGAGGGAGUACUGCCCUAUGGGUUGUAAACCUCUUUUGUCGGGGAGCAAAAGCCGGACGUGUCCGGCUGUGAGAGUACCCGAAGAAAAAGCAUCGGCUAACUCCGUGCCAGCAGCCGCGGUAAUACGGAGGAUGCGAGCGUUAUCCGGAUGUGUUGGGUUUAAAGGGUGCGCAGGCGGAUUUUUAAGUCAGCGGUCAAAUCGUGGGGCUCAACCCCAUCCAGCCGUUGAAACUGGGGAUCUAGAGUGAGCGAGAGGUAUGCGGAAUGCGUGGUGUAGCGGUGAAAUGCGUAGAUAUCACGCAGAACCCCGAUUGCGAAGGCAGCAUACCGGUGCACAACUGACGCUCAGGCACGAAAGCGUGGGUAGCGAACAGGAUUAGAUACCCUUGUAGUC
rnacentral:rRNA from 1 species